rnacentral:rRNA from 1 species
UCCGCACGAGCGCACCCCUAUCCUUAGUUGCUAGCAGGUAAUGCUGAGAACUCUAAGGAGACUGCCGGUGAUAAACCGGAGGAAGGUGGGGACGACGUCAAGUCAUCAUGGCCCUUACGUGUAGGGCUACACACGUGCUACAAUGGCGCAUACAGAGUGCUGCAAACUCGCGAGAGUAAGCGAAUCACUUAAAGUGCGUCGUAGUCCGGAUUGGAGUCUGCAACUCGACCCCAUGAAGUCGGAAUCGCUAGUAAUCGCAUAUCAGAAUGAUGCGGUGAAUACGUUCCCGGGCCUUGUACACACCGCCCGUCACACCAUGGGAGUGGGUUGCUCCAGAAGUGGAUAGUCUAACCUUCGGGAGGACGUUCACCACGGAGUGAUUCAUGACUGGGGUGAAGUCGCAACAAGGUAGCCCUAGGGGAACCUGGGGCUGGAUCACCUCCUU